CUUCGGUGAAAAACAACCUCGCGCGUACAUCAACCCAUCAGUCAGUGCUGCCUUUUAGCUCAAAGAGGCAAUAGAUGGAAUGCUGGAAGCAGGGAUAAAGAAGAACAGCAUAGGCUACGCAUUUGUGCUUUUUACUCCACGUCUCUUUGAAACUAUAUUCCCUUUGGCUAAAUGGAUUCUGCCAUCAUUCCGUUCAAUGACGACGGUGACUUUAGUUAACGGGCGUGAGACAUAAUUUACUUUAUUUGUGAAUUGACCGAAAAGACCGAAAAAAUUACGUACUUGUUUACAAAUGCAUGUUUACUCGGGGAUUGCAAAAGACUCCGUUCUUAUUUGAUCAUAUCCGAAAACUACUGAUACUUAAGAUUGCAAAGUGUUGUGGACGAAAGGACCUGGCGUAGCUACCAACUAGAAGUAACUUGAAUACACAAAUGCUGUUGCUUCAUUUGGGACGAUAAGCAAAUUAUGGCCUACGUUCCGCUGGAUAUUUUUAUGUUCGGUUUAAUAUUGCUGACAUUUUGACAUUCUUGUCGACUUUUCGAAAAACAGCGGAAUUAGCAACGUGUUCAAUUUGCAGUUGAAAUAGUGGCCACAUCGGAUUAUUUUUGUAUCGCUUUUUUAUUCCAGAUUAUAUAUGUCACUUGUGAGGUGAAUUUUAAUUUCAAUAUCAGCCUAUGGUUAUAACCUGUGGUUAUGUUGCCUAUUUAAAACUCUAUUUCUAUUAGGACUGAAAGGACACGUGAUUCGGAUCAUAGCAACCCAUUAAAUUGAGAACUGACCUUUGUCCCACCUUUCUUAGCGAAAUCACUGUGGAUUUAGAAGCAAAAAGGAUUGUACUCAAGUAAAACUAUAAAGAAAAGGGUGUUUUCAAAGGUCAGUCUUUCCGUCAAAAUCUAUGAUCAGCUCGGUGUGUGUUUCGAGUUUCCGUGGGCGCAAGUCUGGCAACAAACCUCCGUCUAAAACAUGUCUGAAGGAACAGAUGACCAGGGGGGAAGACUCGGACAAAAUAGUCAUCAACGUCGGUGGCACGCGACACGAAACCUACAAGAGCACUCUUAGGACCCUCCCGCGUACCCGCUUGGCCUGGCUUGCCGAUCCCGACCCCCAGGAAAACUCGGAUGCGGACACCGGGAAGGUCCCAACGAGCGAGUUAUUUUUCGACCGUCACCCGGGCAUAUUCGCCUACGUAUUGAACUAUUACCGGACUGGCAAGCUCCAUUGCCCGGCCGAUGUUUGCGGGCCCUUGUUCGAGGAGGAGCUGGCGUUUUGGGGCAUAGAUGAAACGGACGUGGAGCCUUGCUGCUGGAUGACAUACCGCCAGCACAGGGAUGCAGAAGAAGCACUCGAUAUAUUCGAACCUCCAGACCCGGACGACACCGAAGACGACAAGGAAUUGCCCAGCCAGGACAGGUCACGGAGCUGCUGCGAAGUUUGGCAACCAAAGAUAUGGGCACUUUUUGAGGAUCCAUACUCAUCGAGGGCUGCCAGGGUGGUGGCCUUCAUCUCCCUCUUCUUCAUCCUGGUCUCCAUCACAAACUUCUGCCUGGAGACACACGAGGCCUUCCAGGAGAGAAAGACGUACACAGAGAAUGUGAGCAACAGGACGGUGGAUGUGUUUGAAAUGGUGCCCACACCCGCGCUUUUCCUGGUGGAGGGCGUGUGCGUGGUCUGGUUCACCUUUGAGUUCCUGAUGCGCAUCAUGUGCUGCCCGGAUAAGCUGGUUUUCAUCAAGAACAUGCUCAACAUCAUCGAUUUUGUGGCCAUCCUGCCCUUCUACUUGGAGCUGGGCCUCAGCAGCCUCUCGUCCAAGGCCGCCAGGGACGUGCUGGGCUUCCUGCGGGUGGUCCGCUUCGUGCGGAUCCUGCGCAUCUUCAAGCUGACCCGCCAUUUUGUGGGCCUCCGCGUACUGGGCCACACGCUCCGCGCCAGCAUCAACGAGUUCUGCCUCCUCGUCAUCUUCCUCGCCCUGGGCGUGCUCAUCUUCGCCACCAUGAUCUACUACGCCGAGCGCAUGGGCGGCGACCCCCUGAACCCCACCCACCACACCCACUUCAAGAACAUCCCCAUCAGCUUCUGGUGGGCCGUGGUCACCAUGACGACCCUGGGGUACGGGGACAUGUACCCGCAGACCUGGUCAGGCAUGUUGGUGGGGGCCCUGUGCGCCCUGGCGGGGGUCCUGACCAUCGCCAUGCCCGUGCCCGUCAUCGUUAACAAUUUUGGGAUGUACUACUCCCUGGCCAUGGCCAAACAGAAGCUUCCAAAGAAGAAGAAGAAACACAAUCCCAACCCGGAUGCCCCCCCUGACUCGCCCUCAUUCGUCAAGUCCGUCAGCAACUCCCCCCGGAACAGCACCCAGAGCGACACUUGCCCACUUGCCGUUCAGGAGAAACCCCGCAACCGAUCAGACUCCAAGCAGAACGGUGAUGCCAAUCUGGUCCUGUCGGACGAGGAGGGGUACGGCCUGACGCUGUCGCCCACCAAGCGCUGGUCUCUACGCCGAUCCCGCGGCCACGACAAGACCAAGACGGAGGCGUCCUGCUUCCUGCUGACCUCCGUCGACUUCUCCUGCGCCACUGACACCCCCAUUCGCACAGCUGUUGUGCGCUAAAGGCCUGCAUUGUGUCAGGCAGCAGAGCAGUGAUUGGGCAGAGAACAGAGGCAGCGCUCCGCCCUGCGCAGCCCCGUAGGGCCGAACGCGAGGGCCACCCAGAGCUGGCCCUGGCCUGGAGGAGCAGAGAGAGCUGCAAAGAAGCCCUCGCUGCUACGGCCAAUUACGCACAGGCAGAAGUUACCACCCUGACUUGAUGGCUAUUGGUCACUUUGGGACGAGUGGGCGUGGCCCAGAGUGCAGGGCUGGAGGGGGCCAGGGGUGGCUCCACCCCCUUUCCUUCAGGCACACAGGCAGAGGCUGGAUCAUUUCUCCAGGAGGGGAACUGUCCAAGGAAACACUCUCUGUGGUGUAUAUUCAGCUCUUCAGAAGCCCUCGUUAUGUACACAUCCGUCUGUUUUAGAUGCGUCUUGCAUGUCUUGCAUGAUAUACACUGUUAUAGUAUGUAUCUUUGACAGAGAAUAACAAACUCUAUUAAUGUACUUAACACUUAGGCAGCAAUUAACUUGUAUCAUAGUUGAAUUAACUUUUAACAUUGUUAACGUUGUUGUUAACAUUUUCUCAUGAGUUGAAGUUACUCUGCAAUAUUUUUUUUAUCAAGACUGCUGCCAGAAAUGACUGCCAUAUUUGUGAACAAUGAUGUUUCUCAGCUGUGCAACAUCCAAUCAACUGGUGAUUCACUGUCCCUUAGUUUACUUUUUAUAAUUUAAAAAGCACACAGGCGUGAUGGUGCCAUUUUAGUUCAGCCUUUCACAGAUAAAACGUGAUAAAUGUUGACUGUAACACAACAGAAGUACGUGUUUGAAUAUUGCGGUGUAAAAUUGUGACCGUGAGAUAGAGUCAAGACUUUCAACAGUUGUUCCAAGUUGACUCCUACAAAAAAAAAUGAACCCAAGUGUGGCUUUGUUUGAAUUAAAACAUAACAGUAAAAGCAACUGCACGUCUGCCUUUUGUCGCGGCAGCAGAGCUAGAGUUAGUUGGAAGGAACAUGGAGCAGACAUCGAUUAUUCCACUCGUCCAUAAGCCUUCCAACGACUAUUAUGAAGACAUGUUUUAAUUCCAUAACCUUACAACACACAGUAGUUACAUUGUAGUUACUUUGCUGGUUGAAAGGGGACCAAGCGGGGGGGAAAAUUCUCCAUUUUCUGUUGCUUUAUUAGAUUAUGAUCAUGAAGAUGGCUUGCAAGCAUAUCAGUUCUGUUCCGAUUGUGCCUAAUCUGGAGUCAAUGAGGAUUUAUUGUGAGUAAUUUAAACAGGAUGAAUUGGAGAGCCUGGGCUUGGUAGCAGAACAUAAUUAAAGCUCACACUGGUUUCAGAUGUCUUUCUGAGGGUUAUAGAAGUUUGAUAUCUGAAACGCACACACACACACACACACACACACACCAGACAGGGAUAGAAGUCGCAGUGUACGUGCUCAUGUGUGAGUAAAGAUGUUGGCUCCAGUUUUCCAGUCUAGCCUGCCAUGUUUAAAAACCUUAGUUGCCUUACAGUACAUUUAACAAACAUAUAUCUAUACAGUAGCUUUCUUUGAGUUUGUGCAUGAAAUAGUGUAUCUUUGAGUUUGUACAUCAGACAUCAAUAUAUAUUUUUUAUUUUGUACGCAAAUGAUAGCACAUAUCUAGUAUGUAGCACAGUAUGCGAUUAAACAUGACAUACUACUCAAAACCUUUUAUAACCUGAACACAAGUGCAUUAACCUUUAGCUAAGUUACAGAUGCAUAUUAAAACAAAUAUGAUAAAGAGAUUAUUUUGUUAAUAUUACAGAUUUAUCGACCUGCAUUACACUUUGUCAGUUUUACUGUUGUGUUUUAAUGAGAGAGAAGCAGACAGAGAGUGUGUUGCUGGGUAGCAGUGGGUGAGCUGGAGUCACUGUAAAUGCUGGCUUCCUCAAAAUGAAGUGUUUGGUACAGUAACUGUUUUGGAUGAAACUGUAUGAAGCUGUCAAAUGUGGUGUGUCUAGGGCAAUACAGUUAAUAUCUUGUAUCCUGUAGGCAUGCAUUUCUAUGCACCUCUGCUGACAUACAAAUAAACAAUGUUUCCCAAUGUCAAAGAAA